GCAUCCACCGCCGAAACCAAACCCAAUGUCCUCUCUCUUGAAUGUGAAUUCCUCUCUCGCAGCUUCCAACCAGCACCGGCAUGAAGCAUUCCGUUUCGAAGAGAAAAUCGCAGUUCUCCUUGAAAUCUUCUGUGAAACACACACUUUUCAAGAGCGAGUUGAACCGAUUGUUGAUGUGAGUGUGCAAAUCGGAGAUGGCGAUGAUGAUGUGGUCCUUGGAGAGGAGUGAUUGGGACUCGGUGGAGGUAGGUGAGUCGGGCGAGUCGACUCGGUCAAUGACCGGGUCAGACCAGAUGAAAAGGCGUGUUCUGGGGUAUGGCCAUUCAGAAUGUUAAGAUACAAUGUAUCAUCUAGGAGUGGUCCUGUAUCUUCAAGGAAAAGAAAGGGAUGCUGAGGCCUUUAUUAAGGACUCUAUAAGGAUGCUAGAGGAAGGUGGGGAAAGGGAGUCUUUUGUAUGCAUUAGAAGACUACAAUACCUCUCACAGGUGGCCUUUUAAUCCUUUUUCCUACCGGAUCUUUGUUGAUAGAUAAUCUAUGAUUAGAUAAAAACCUUUACACUUAAUGUUAAUAGAAACUUAUGCUAUCUCAUGGGAAUUGAGAGUUUGGGUUAGUUAUAAUAGUUAUUGGUAGAAAGUUGGAGCAAUCAUUUAUUAUCUGAGUAUGUGUAGUAAUAGCUGUCAUUAGCAAUUAUGUAUUAUUAUAAUAUGUUCAUUAGGAACUAUUGUGUUGACAGUUUAUGGCAGAAAGUUAGGAGCAGUUGCAUAUUAUUUAAAUGUGUGUUAUGGUGUAAAUAGAAUGAUACAUGUGUUUGUCUUGUUAUUUGGACAGAGAACUAAUCUCUGUAAGUGGACAUCAAAUACUACAGCAUUCUAAGUAUUUUUCUGAUGACAGCUAUGGUGUAAAUAGAAUAAUACUGUUCAAUUAUUGUUCUAUCAAUAUCUAUAGGUAUAGAAAGGGCACCUAAAACCUAUGUCACACAACCCAUAUAUACUUGAGUGGUAGUAUAGUGUUACAUAUAAGUGCUCAGACACAAAACUAGACAUUAGACAAAUAAAAGUUAUUCUUUCCUCCUGACAGUUUUUAACUUUGGGAAGAGUUGGUUCUUGGCAUCGUAUUUAAUUUUUUUUACCAAUUGAUAUAUAUGAAUUCACAACAAUUUGUUGAAGCUGAGUUGGUCCAGAGAAAGAUCCUGCAUGUUGUGGAAUUGUCAAAGGUUCUUUUUGUUAACUUCUUUGUCUUUUGCUUUUAAUUGACUUUCUUGUUAUGGUGAUGCAUGCAUAUUUUAUAAAUUUAUAAAUACUGGGUAAGUGGAUUUUAUUUUUAUUUUUUGAAAAAAGUGGUUAAGUGAAAGAAACUUCUGCUUAAUGAAAUUAUUGUCACUUGUCAAAUACAAUUAUUUAGUUAGUUGCAUCUUAUUUGCUGCUUUUUCUGCCACUUUUAGUGUUGUGCCAUUGUCAUGGUUUAGGGAUAUAGGGAUGGCCUAGGCAAGUUGGUUUCUUUUCCUGUUUCUUAUUGUCACUUCAUUGAUGCAUUGAGCAGGCCCAUAUAUAUGGUGGUUAAGCACUAUUAUUUUCUGUUCUUAAGUUUAGUUUUGAUAGAAUGCUGUUUCUAUUCUUGCUGAAUAACAAUUAAAGUCUUUAAGUUAUUCUUAUGUAGAUAGCAUAUUUAAUUUGUUUGACCAAAUAGCAGUACCGUGAUAAUAUAUAAAUGGGCUGUAAUUUUUGAACAAGUUAGAAGUUGGAUUUCUUACAAAACAAUCAUGAUCUGAUAAUUCAUAAAACCAUUUUUAUUACUUGACAAUCGUGGAAAGUAGUAUGACUGACACUAAUGACAGAUUGAUAUUUUAUGAUGUUCCCUGAUGACAAUCGUGUAUAUAAUUAUGUCAAACAUGUAUAUAAUUUUUAUUCUCUUGUGUUCGGCUUAUAAAUAAGAAAAUAGACCAAUCAAAACAAAUAUCUUUAUUCUUUGUCCUACGCGUAUUCUUCGGGCCACAUACCAAAUCAUAUAAAAAAAUAAAAAUAUAAAUUAAGUACUUGAUGAAAUAAGGUUUAACCUUUAGUCUUUGGUUAAAUCAUGUAAUAUGUUUGGCUUUGUUUCCCUUUCUUUGAUAAUUUGCAAUUUAAGGCUGUCCUAACAUUGGAAUCCCUGUCUUCCAAAUUUAAGGUACGCCUCAGUUUCUCUAAUAGUGGUAGUCCAGUGUUUCACAUGCCCCCUCCUUGUUCUGUUGUUAUUCAGGUAAGCUCCUUGUUCCUAACAUUGGAAUCCCUGUCUUCCAAAUUUAGUGUUUGUUGCUCACUCAAUGUUCAGUUGAUUCUCCCUAGAGUAGGAACUCUGCUUUGAGCUUUGAAGAAGAAAAUGUUUGGGUUCUCUUGCAGGCACACGAAACUUGGCAGGAGGACCACUGGCCCUAUAAGGCGCGCUAAGGGUGGUUGGACAGCGCAGGAGGUUAGUCUUUAUUAAUUGGAGACAACUGUUUUUUUUUAUUUAUCAAUUUUUUGGUUACACAUAUUCUUGCAAUCUUGCUUGUUAGCAAGGUGAUUAAAUAGUGAAUUCAACUCAGUUGAUUUUAUGAAUUUGUAAUUAUAGUCCAAGAUUGUUAUGCUUGUCCUCUCAA